rnacentral:tRNA from 1 species
GAGGGUAUAGCUCAGUGACAGAGCACAUGCUUAGCAUGCUUGAGGUCCUGGGUCCAAUCUCCAGUACUUAUC